UGACGAGUUUGAUCCUGGCUCAGAGCGAACGCUGGCGGCAGGCCUAACACAUGCAAGUCGAACGGACCCUUCGGGGUUAGUGGCGGACGGGUGAGUAACACGUGGGAACGUGCCUUUAGGUUCGGAAUAGCUCCUGGAAACGGGUGGUAAUGCCGAAUGUGCCCUUCGGGACAAAGAUUUAUCGCCAUGGGAUGGGCCCGCGUAGGAUUAGCUUGUUGGCGGGGUAACGGCCCACCAAGGCUUCGAUCCUUAGCUGGUCUGAGAGGACGAUCAGCCACACUGGGGACUGAGACACGGCCCAGACUCCUACGGGAGGCAGCAGUGGGGAAUAUUGCACAAUGGGCGAAAGCCUGAUGCAGCAACGCCGCGUGAGGGGAUGAAGGCCUUCGGGGUUGUAAACCCGUCUUUAGCAGGGAAGAAGCGAAAGUGACGGUACCUGACAGAAAACGCACCGGCUAACGUAACGUGCCAGCAGCCGCGGUAAUCUGAUGGCGCGAGGGA
rnacentral:rRNA from 1 species